rnacentral:rRNA from 1 species
UUAAGCGACUAAGCGUACACGGUGGAUGCCCUGGCAGUCAGAGGCGAUGAAGGACGUGCUAAUCUGCGAUAAGCGUCGGUAAGGUGAUAUGAACCGUUAUAACCGGCGAUUUCCGAAUGGGGAAACCCAGUGUGAUUCGUCACACUAUCAUUAACUGAAUCCAUAGGUUAAUGAGGCGAACCGGGGGAACUGAAACAUCUAAGUACCCCGAGGAAAAGAAAUCAACCGAGAUUCCCCCAGUAGCGGCGAGCGAACGGGGAGCAGCCCAGAGCCUGAAUCAGUGUGUGUGUUAGUGGAAGCGUCUGGAAAGGCGCGCGAUACAGGGUGACAGCCCCGUACACAAAAAUGCACAUGCUGUGAGCUCGAUGAGUAGGGCGGGACACGUGGUAUCCUGUCUGAAUAUGGGGGGACCAUCCUCCAAGGCUAAAUACUCCUGACUGACCGAUAGUGAACCAGUACCGUGAGGGAAAGGCGAAAAGAACCCCGGCGAGGGGAGUGAAAAAGAACCUGAAACCGUGUACGUACAAGCAGUGGGAGCACGCUUAGGCGUGUGACUGCGUACCUUUUGUAUAAUGGGUCAGCGACUUAUAUUCUGUAGCAAGGUUAACCGAAUAGGGGAGCCGAAGGGAAACCGAGUCUUAACUGGGCGUUAAGUUGCAGGGUAUAGACCCGAAACCCGGUGAUCUAGCCAUGGGCAGGUUGAAGGUUGGGUAACACUAACUGGAGGACCGAACCGACUAAUGUUGAAAAAUUAGCGGAUGACUUGUGGCUGGGGGUGAAAGGCCAAUCAAACCGGGAGAUAGCUGGUUCUCCCCGAAAGCUAUUUAGGUAGCGCCUCGUGAAUUCAUCUCCGGGGGUAGAGCACUGUUUCGGCAAGGGGGUCAUCCCGACUUACCAACCCGAUGCAAACUGCGAAUACCGGAGAAUGUUAUCACGGGAGACACACGGCGGGUGCUAACGUCCGUCGUGAAGAGGGAAACAACCCAGACCGCCAGCUAAGGUCCCAAAGUCAUGGUUAAGUGGGAAACGAUGUGGGAAGGCCCAGACAGCCAGGAUGUUGGCUUAGAAGCAGCCAUCAUUUAAAGAAAGCGUAAUAGCUCACUGGUCGAGUCGGCCUGCGCGGAAGAUGUAACGGGGCUAAACCAUGCACCGAAGCUGCGGCAGCGACGCUUAUGCGUUGUUGGGUAGGGGAGCGUUCUGUAAGCCUGCGAAGGUGUACUGUGAGGUAUGCUGGAGGUAUCAGAAGUGCGAAUGCUGACAUAAGUAACGAUAAAGCGGGUGAAAAGCCCGCUCGCCGGAAGACCAAGGGUUCCUGUCCAACGUUAAUCGGGGCAGGGUGAGUCGACCCCUAAGGCGAGGCCGAAAGGCGUAGUCGAUGGGAAACAGGUUAAUAUUCCUGUACUUGGUGUUACUGCGAAGGGGGGACGGAGAAGGCUAUGUUGGCCGGGCGACGGUUGUCCCGGUUUAAGCGUGUAGGCUGGUUUUCCAGGCAAAUCCGGAAAAUCAAGGCUGAGGCGUGAUGACGAGGCACUACGGUGCUGAAGCAACAAAUGCCCUGCUUCCAGGAAAAGCCUCUAAGCAUCAGGUAACAUCAAAUCGUACCCCAAACCGACACAGGUGGUCAGGUAGAGAAUACCAAGGCGCUUGAGAGAACUCGGGUGAAGGAACUAGGCAAAAUGGUGCCGUAACUUCGGGAGAAGGCACGCUGAUAUGUAGGUGAAGUCCCUCGCGGAUGGAGCUGAAAUCAGUCGAAGAUACCAGCUGGCUGCAACUGUUUAUUAAAAACACAGCACUGUGCAAACACGAAAGUGGACGUAUACGGUGUGACGCCUGCCCGGUGCCGGAAGGUUAAUUGAUGGGGUUAGCGCAAGCGAAGCUCUUGAUCGAAGCCCCGGUAAACGGCGGCCGUAACUAUAACGGUCCUAAGGUAGCGAAAUUCCUUGUCGGGUAAGUUCCGACCUGCACGAAUGGCGUAAUGAUGGCCAGGCUGUCUCCACCCGAGACUCAGUGAAAUUGAACUCGCUGUGAAGAUGCAGUGUACCCGCGGCAAGACGGAAAGACCCCGUGAACCUUUACUAUAGCUUGACACUGAACAUUGGUCCUUGAUGUGUAGGAUAGGUGGGAGGCUUUGAAGUGUGGACGCCAGUCUGCAUGGAGCCGACCUUGAAAUACCACCCUUUAAUGGCUGGUGUUCUAACGUAGACCCGUAAUCCGGGUUGCGGACAGUGUCUGGUGGGUAGUUUGACUGGGGCGGUCUCCUCCUAAAGAGUAACGGAGGAGCACGAAGGUUGGCUAAUCCUGGUCGGACAUCAGGAGGUUAGUGCAAUGGCAUAAGCCAGCUUGACUGCGAGCGUGACGGCGCGAGCAGGUGCGAAAGCAGGUCAUAGUGAUCCGGUGGUUCUGAAUGGAAGGGCCAUCGCUCAACGGAUAAAAGGUACUCCGGGGAUAACAGGCUGAUACCGCCCAAGAGUUCAUAUCGACGGCGGUGUUUGGCACCUCGAUGUCGGCUCAUCACAUCCUGGGGCUGAAGUAGGUCCCAAGGGUAUGGCUGUUCGCCAUUUAAAGUGGUACGCGAGCUGGGUUUAGAACGUCGUGAGACAGUUCGGUCCCUAUCUGCCGUGGGCGCUGGAGAACUGAGGGGGGCUGCUCCUAGUACGAGAGGACCGGAGUGGACGCAUCACUGGUGUUCGGGUUGUCAUGCCAAUGGCACUGCCCGGUAGCUAAAUGCGGAAGAGAUAAGUGCUGAAAGCAUCUAAGCACGAAACUUGCCCCGAGAUGAGUUCUCCCUGACUCCUUGAGAGUCCUGAAGGAACGUUGAAGACGACGACGUUGAUAGGCCGGGUGUGUAAGCGCAGCGAUGCGUUGAGCUAACCGGUACUAAUGAACCGUGAGGCUUAACCUU